rnacentral:rRNA from 1 species
GGACUACCGGGGUAUCUAAUCCUGUUUGCUCCCCACGCUUUCGCGCCUCAGCGUCAGUUGUGGUCCAGUUGGCCGCCUUCGCCACCGGUGUUCUUCCCAAUAUCUACGAAUUUCACCUCUACACUGGGAAUUCCACCAACCUCUCCCACACUCUAGCCUCGCUGUAUCGAGCGCAAUUCCUAGGUUGAGCCCAGGCAUUUCACGCCGGACGGACGAGGCCGCCUACGCGCCCUUUACGCCCAGUAAUUCCGAACAACGCUAGCCCCCUUCGUAUUACCGCGGCUGCUGGCAC